CAAGUUGAGCGCUGAAGGUUGGUACUUGUACCGACUGGAUGAGCAGCGAACGGGUGAGUAACGCGUGGGGAAUCUGCCUUUGAGCGGGGGACAACAUUUGGAAACGAAUGCUAAUACCGCAUAACAACUUUAAACACAAGUUUUAAGUUUGAAAGAUGCAAUUGCAUCACUCAAAGAUGAUCCCGCGUUGUAUUAGCUAGUUGGUGAGGUAAAGGCUCACCAAGGCGAUGAUACAUAGCCGACCUGAGAGGGUGAUCGGCCACAUUGGGACUGAGACACGGCCCAAACUCCUACGGGAGGCAGCAGUAGGGAAUCUUCGGCAAUGGACGAAAGUCUGACCGAGCAACGCCGCGUGAGUGAAGAAGGUUUUCGGAUCGUAAAACUCUGUUGGUAGAGAAGAACGUUGGUGAGAGUGGAAGGCUCAUCAAGUGACGGUAACUACCCAGAAAGGGACGGCUAACUACGUGCCAGCAGCCGCGGUAAUACCGUAGGUCCCGAGCGUUGUCCGGAUUUAUUGGGCGUAAAGCGAGCGCAGGUGGUUUAUUAAGUCUGGUGUAAAAGGCA
rnacentral:rRNA from 1 species